rnacentral:rRNA from 1 species
AUUGAACGCUGGCGGCAGGCCUAACACAUGCAAGUCGAGCGGUUGAGGGGAGCUUGCUCCCUGAUUCAGCGGCGGACGGGUGAGUAAUGCCUAGGAAUCUGCCUAUUAGUGGGGGACAACGUUUCGAAAGGAACGCUAAUACCGCAUACGUCCUACGGGAGAAAGCAGGGGACCUUCGGGCCUUGCGCUAAUAGAUGAGCCUAGGUCGGAUUAGCUAGUUGGUGAGGUAAUGGCUCACCAAGGCGACGAUCCGUAACUGGUCUGAGAGGAUGAUCAGUCACACUGGAACUGAGACACGGUCCAGACUCCUACGGGAGGCAGCAGUGGGGAAUAUUGGACAAUGGGCGAAAGCCUGAUCCAGCCAUGCCGCGUGUGUGAAGAAGGUCUUCGGAUUGUAAAGCACUUUAAGUUGGGAGGAAGGGUUGUAGAUUAAUACUCUGCAAUUUUGACGUUACCGACAGAAUAAGCACCGGCUAACUCUGUGCCAGCAGCCGCAGUAAGAC